rfam:Aedes albopictus isolate Foshan contig134312, whole genome shotgun sequence.
UUUUCUGUGGCGGUGUUGGUUAACGCGCCCUGUCUAGCGAGUUUAGGAAGACGUGGGUUCAAUCCCCAUCAGAACUA